AAACCAACAGGGAUUGCCUCAGUAACGGCGAGUGAAGCGGCAAAAGCUCAAAUUUGAAAUCUGGAGCCUUCGGCUUCCGAGUUGUAAUUUGAAGAGGAUGUUUCGGUUGCGGCCUGGGCCUAAGUUCCUUGGAACAGGAUGUCAUGGAGGGUGAGAAUCCCGUACAUGGCUGCAGGCUUGCUUCCAUGUGAAACUCCUUCGAAGAGUCGAGUUGUUUGGGAAUGCAGCUCAAAUUGGGUGGUAAAUUUCAUCUAAAGCUAAAUAUUGGCGGGAGACCGAUAGCGCACAAGUAGAGUGAUCGAAAGAUGAAAAGCACUUUGAAAAGAGAGUUAAACAGUACGUGAAAUUGUUGAAAGGGAAGCGCUUGCAAUCAGACUCGCUUUCGGUUGAUCAACGUUCCUUCUGGUUCGUGCACUCUGCCGUUUGCGGGCCAGCAUCAGUCGGGACGGCGGGACAAAGGCGGCGGGAAUGUGGCUCCCCUCGGGGAGUGUUAUAGCCCGUCGCGCCAUGCCGCCAGCCCCGACUGAGGUCCGCGGUUCGCCUAGGAUGCUGGCUUAAUGGUUGUAAGCGACCCGUCUUGAAACACGGACCAAGGAGUCUAACAUCUACGCGAGUCUUUGGGUGUCAAACCCAUGGGCGAAAUGAAAGUGAACGGAGGUGGGAGUCCUCGGACGCACCAUCGACCGAUCCUGAUGUUCUCGGAUGGAUUUGAGUAGGAGCGUAGCUGUUGGGACCCGAAAGAUGGUGAACUAUGCCUGAAUAGGGUGAAGCCAGAGGAAACUCUGGUGGAGGCUCGCAGCGGUUCUGACGUGCAAAUCGAUCGUCAAAUUUGGGUAUAGGGGCGAAAGACUAAUCGAACCAUCUAGUAGCU
rnacentral:rRNA from 1 species